UACAGAGGUCUCAAGCGUUUGUUCGGAUUCAUUGGGCGUAAAGGGUGUGUAGGUGGCGCGCUAAGUCGGGUGUGAAAUUUCGGAGCUUAACUCCGAAACUGCAUUCGAUACUGGCGUGCUUGAGGACUGGAGAGGAGACUGGAAUUCAUGGUGUAGCAGUGAAAUGCGUAGAGAUCAUGAGGAAGACCAGUGGCGAAGGCGGGUCUCUGGGACGGUACUGACACUGAGACGCGAAAGCGUGGGGAGCGAACAGG
rnacentral:rRNA from 1 species